rnacentral:lncRNA from 7 species
GACUCUCGGCAGUUUGAUUAUAUUGCGACUGCGCAUGGAAAGCUUAACUGCACAAAAGUUUUUGCCUACAUCCUCAAUAGACUAUAUGUAAAAGAAAUGACUCUGUCAACUCAAUCGUGCAUGCACGAUUAGAAAUAAAUAAAUAAAUAAAUGGUGCAAUUAUGGUGAAAGGAAAUAAAAUUUUUCCAUUGCUGAUGUACUUCUCUUCCUUCCAUUUUUUCCCCGGUACCACAACCUGUCACACUGUUCAUAGUGGACGAACAAAGGCCCAUCCUGUCCCGAUUUCAUUUAAUGAGGUAAAGGAGAAUGAAAAAAAAACAGUUUUUUUUUUUUGCAAUCCUACCUGAGAAAUUGAAACGUUUUCAUGGUUAUCUGUCACCAAACAAGGCUGGGAACAAUAAACCAUGCAAGGGGCUACCAAAAGGACGAAACAGACAUCAAAACAGCACCAUCUACUGAAAGUGAGUGUCUGUCAUCCAGCUGAAAGCACCGAAAAGGAUAUUUUACGAAUUAUAUAUGCCAUAUAAACUGCCCACUAAAGGCCUUUUUGGUAACAAUAUUUCUUAAAUCCAUAGUUUUGCAAUAUUAUACUUUGCAA